rnacentral:lncRNA from 1 species
UGUAUGGCUCUUUGUAUCCUUUGUAAGAAUCAAAAUCUCAGUUAAAGUUUUGUUAUCAUUGCAUUGGAUAUUACAAAUGACAUUAAUGGGAGUUCUAUUUUACAAUUUGAACACACUAAAACAUGUUUGGCAUGUUAUUUACUGGAUGAUUCAAAUUUGAUACGUGUGUCACAUGACUUUCCAAAGCUUUGAUUUCACAUCUUGCCAAAAGCAUGCCAUGUGGGAGGUAACAAAGAAUGCCGCUCAGGCUGGGCUCCUGCCCUGCAUAGGCAGCUGAGCUACGUACCGGGUUUCUGAUCCAGCGUGGAUUAUGUGGUGCGACUCUGCCUCAGCAAACAGAGCAGAAAUGCACGGUACUAUUCCCUUACACAGAGGGCCUGCAUGCCGGAGGGGGUGGCCUGUGUGUGUUGUCAGGGUUUGGGGUAUCUCCACAUAUGUAAUUAGGUAGCCCUCACUUGCUGGUCAGACCCAAGUUGGUGCAUGCAGCCUAUAGGUUUUCAUAUGUCUACACUUUAUACAUGGACAGAGGCCAUUUUAUGCACUACAUAAGACUUGUUUUCACCCUGUCUUGUAUGUGGAAUUUGCCGUUUUUAUCAUAGGUGCUCAAUUUUUGAUGUUUUAAUUUGGGCAUGUGUCUUCAUUUUGUAAAUAUUUUCAAAAAUGAAUUCUGUUGAAUGGAAUUUGUUCUGUAAUAUGGCUUUAUGGUAAGUGUGGUCUCACUGCUAAUGAAGUUAAGUUUUAAUGCUCAUAUAUUUAAUGCUAAUAUCUGUCCCUAUUCUUAGAAUGUAGAAAUAACUGUCAUCCUGAUUUUUGUCUUAAUGUUUUUAUUCUGCCUCAGACACAUUCAUUCAAAUGUCCUUAGUACUCUGCUAAUCAGAUAAUAUCAUACAAAGAAUUAAACAUGCACCUUACUUAUGAAAAAAAUACACAACAAAGCGCUUGAAAUGCAAUUUUAGAGAGACUGGAGAGAUGGCUGAGCGGUUAAGAUCCACAUUGCCCUUGUAGAGGCCCUGAGUUCAGUCUCAACACCGAUACAGCAGCUCCCAACCAUUUGUAACUCCAGGUCCAGGACAUCUCAAUGCUUCUUUAGCUGUUUCAUGCACUUGCAGGCAUGGGGUGCAUAUACACAGACUCAGGCAUAGAUACAUAUAAAAUAAAUAGCGUUUAAAAAAUUAUUGUCCCUUUAGAAUAUUUAACAUGCUGACACUGACUGAAGUUGGAAUAAUCUUAUUUAAAGUUUCGGACUUUGAAUUUAAAAAGGUAUUGAUCCAAUUUGUUUUCAUAUAAUAUUAAUGAAAACACAUUUCUAUUCUCAGGGUAAACCAGACCUGAACACAACAUUGCCAAUUAGACAAACUGCAUCAAUUUUCAAGCAACCAGUAACCAAAUUCACGAACCACCCGAGCAAUAAGGUGAAGUCAGACCCCCAGCGGAUGAAUGAACAACCACGUCAGGUAAGAGCUCAUUUGUCCUCCAGUCGUAUUUUCCAGAAAGUUCUGGUAUUUUUACCAGGAAUAAUGAAGGUAAAUUCGGGCUAAAUUGGAAAAAAGUUUUAUGUUCAGUCUUAUUACAGAGAAUAAUACAAGACUUGAUAAAAUACUUUAAAAUUAAUUAAAAUGAAUCAAAGUACUAUUAUUGGCAAUGCUUUCAAUUUUUCUGUGUUAUACCUCAGGCUUGGUUGUACUAAUCUUAGUUUUUUUAGAGGGAUUAUUUUUCUAGGGAUGGUAUUAACUAGAAGGCUGAAUCCUGAAGCUUGUGUUGUGUUUGAUUUGAAAACAUUUUCUGUUAUUUGGAAGUUGAUUCUUAACCCGUUUGAUUCUGGUUUUUAAUUUCGAGGAAUUUCAAACCUUUUGAAAAACUGAAUUAGAUACAGAUUGCCAGUAUGGGUAUAUUUCUGUGAGUUCCGUUUUGUAUAAGUUCAACGCAGUUUUCUCUUUCUUUAUUUCUACAACUUAUAUCUACCAGAAACUGUUCUUAGUAUUAUCUGAAAGGCUUCCCUGGGGCUUACCAAGGUCACACAGCCAGGGAUGAAGACUGUAUAGCCUUCCAGAUGGCUCAGCUGGCUUGUACCUCUUGUGGUCAGAAGUUAGGCACUCCAUGAACAUCAGUCACAGCCAGGGUGAGAAGGUGGAGGGAGAAAGUGAAUUUCCUCUCUUUUCUCUGUUUCCUCCCACUUUUGGGCUAGAAGCCCUGAUUGGCCUACGAUGAGUAUCUUUUGCUAGAGUAUUCUCCGCUCCAUCUUGUCAUUUGAUUUGUGUUUCACUAGUCCUUCAAGUGUUUCAUCUUCAUACUUCACAAAGGGCCAAAUCUCUCAGACAUUUGCUCUAGAAGAAACU